UACGUAGGGGCCGAGCGUUGUCCGGAGUUACUGGGCGUAAAGCGCGCGCAGGCGGCUUGGCGCGCCCGGCGUGAAAGCCCCCGGCUCAACCGGGGAGGGUCGUCGGGGACGGUCAGGCUUGAGGACGGCAGGGGCUGGUGGAAUUCCCGGUGUAGUGGUGAAAUGCGUAGAGAUCGGGAGGAACACCCGUGGCGAAGGCGGCCAGCUGGGCCGGGCCUGACGCUGAGGCGCGAAGGCGUGGGGAGCGAACGGGAUUAGAAACCCCAGUAGUCC
rnacentral:rRNA from 1 species